ensembl:lncRNA
CCCCAAUCCAGACUCAACGACCACCACCACCCUCUCCAAUCCAGACUCAAUGACCUCCAUCACACCUCUCACCCCCCUUUCCUCCUCCCUGAAACUCAGAAUACACACUGAGGAUGUGAGCCGACUAUUUCAGAAACAGAAGCCCAGGAAAGCCCCCGGACCAGACGGUGUCUCACCCUCCUGCCUCAAAACCUGUGCUGAACAGCUGGCUCCCAUCUUUACCCGCAUCUUCAACAGAUCCCUGGAACUGUGUGAAGUUCCCUCCUGCUUCAAACGCUCCACCAUCAUCCCUGUUCCCAAGAAACCCACCAUCACAGGACUGAAUGACUACAGACCUGUCGCCUUGACGUCUGUGGUCAUGAAAUCCUUCAAACGACUGGUGUUAGCCCAUCUGAAGGACAUUACAGGCCACCAGCUGGACACUCUGCAGUUUGCCUACCGGGCAAACAGGUCGGUGGAUGAUGCAGUGAACAUGGGGCUGCAUUACAUCCUGCAACACCUCGACUGCCCGGGAACUUAUGCCAGGGUCCUGUUUGUGGACUUUAGUUCGGCUUUUAACACCAUCGUGCCUGAACUUCUCUCCUCCAAACUCUCCCAGCUCAGCGUGUCACCAGCUACCUGUCAGUGGAUCACCAGCUUCCUGACAGACAGAAAGCAACAAGUGAGGCUGGGGGAGAUCACCUCUGAAACUCGGUCCCUCAGUAUUGGUGCCCCUCAAGGAUGUGUCCUUGACUGCACCUCCAAGAACUCUGCUGUUAAACUCCUAAAGUUUGCAGAUGACACCACCAUCAUUGGCCUCAUUCAGGAUGGCGAUGAGUCUGCAUACCGGUAGGAAGUUGAGCGGCUGGUACUCUGGUGCAGUCAGCACAAUCUGGAGCUGAACACUCUUAAAACUGUAGAGAUGACAGUGGACUUCAGGAGACAUCCCUCAACUCUGCCCCCCCUUACCAUAUCAGACAGCCCUGUGUCGACUGUGAAGAUCUUCCAAUGGGAGACCAACAUCAACUCCAUCCUCAAAAAGACCCAGCAGAGGAUGUACUUCCUGAGAAAGGAUCAUCGGCGCCACCCUGCCCUCCAUCCAGGCAUCUGUACCUCUCAAGAACCAGGAAACGGGCAGGGAAAAUCAUCACAGACCCCUCACACCCUGCACACAGACUUUUUGAUCUGCUGCCCUCUGGCAGACGGUACAGAAGCCUGCAGACCAGGACCACCCGACAUAGGAACAGUUUCUUUCCC